rnacentral:lncRNA from 1 species
GCUGGAGCCAUAUGGCUGGAGGGAAGUUAUCUUCCCCGUCUGCCCUCCAUUGGGGCUGAUAUACAUUAUCUGCUUCUUUGCUCAUCUUAUUCCAAACCCUUCCCCAGGCCAGAAUGGGGAACAGGGCUAUGUGGGUUGGCCCCCAAAAUGAAAGCAUAAACUGGAUAGAGGAGGGUGGAAGUUUGGUCACCUGUGUGGUCCAUACCCUUCCCCAGCUCCCAUAGGAAUCUACCCAUUUCCUGCAGAAGCCAGAGUCAUGGUAAGGCUGUUUCCUAUCUGCCCCAAUUGUGA